AUAACAGGCAUUUUCUCAUCUUUGUUUUCAUUUCAUUCCCACCACUUCCUGUUGGAAAGCAGUUUCUAUAAGGACUUAGCAUCCAUGUCUUACGUGCUAGACUGCCUUUAGCACUUCUUAACAUUGUCCAUGGCCAUUACAACAUCAAAAAGAGGCCUGAGCCAAACGCUCUUCACAGGAAACUGGACAGGAACCUGGCAUCGCCGUUCUCAGAGACGCUCCACCUAGCAACCAAUGGAAAGAGAUACAGGGACUCACACCCAAACGUUAGAUGCAACCCAGGAAGUUUUAUGGAAGAGUUGGGAGAAAGACUGAGGAACCUGAAGAGCACAGGGACUCCACAGUAUCCAACCGAGUCAGCUAACCUGGGACCUCGGGAGCUCUCAGAGACUGAAUCACCAACCGAAGAGCAGUCUGUGUCAGGUAAGCGGCUUUUUCUUCAUGUGGGUCCCCCAAACAACUGGAGCAGGGCUGUCCCUGAGCCCGUUGCCUGCCCACCUGUGGACCCUGUACCUCUUAAUGGACAACCGUGUCUGGCCUCAGCGGGAGGGAAUGUGCCUGGUCCUGCAGUGACUUGAUGUGCAG
ensembl:lncRNA